rnacentral:lncRNA from 1 species
AGCUGUAGAUUUUGAUGUUGAACUCGGAGAGUAUUACCUGGUUCAAAAGGUGCAAACUUUUUGUACAAUUUUAAGCAUGAAAUUUGCUGAUGUAACUUAUCUAGCAAACUUACAACAGACUUCUACAUGAUACAGGCUUGGAGUACUUACAAGACAAACAACCUUCUCCAGAUAGUGGAUUCUGCUCUGAACAUGAACUUCCCAGAAGAAGAAGCUCUAAGGUUCAUGAAGGUCGGCCUUCUCUGCGUGCAAGAAACUGCAAAGCGCAGGCCAAAGAUGUCAACCGUGGUUAAAAUGUUGAACAAUGAAAUCGAAAUGGAAACCUGUGAGAUUUCUGAACCUGGGCACCUCGCUGAUCUGAUGGGGAUUAGAUUACACAAAAGGUACACAUCCGAAACAAGUUCCUCAAAGAGCUCAACCAGAACCAGCAUGUGAACUGCUACUGCUGCACAGAUUUUUUAGUCGUCAAUUUUGUAAAAGCCAUGCUUGAUGUAUAAUGUAUAAUAGAGAGGGACCAAAUUUGCUUAAUUUUCCUUAGGUCUAACAGAAGCUAUAAAGAUAGUUGCAUUGAUGCUUUCAUAAGCAUUAUUUCCAGAUUGUAAACUGUGUCAUUUCGUGAAUAAAUUGUCCAAAGCCUUUAUUUUUUUAAUAAUAAACUCUGCUUGCAAGAACAAAGAAUCUGCAGAAGCAAAAACUCUUAUGAAACAGAGGAAUGGUUGGAGAUUACAAAUGUUGGGUUUGCUCUUUUUACUGGCCCUACCUAAAACAGUUCUGAAACUGACCAAUCAGAACUAUGAAAGGAGACAUGUAAACUAUGAACGCAAGUGGCAUUUGCAUUACAUUAUAGUCAAGAGGAAAAGACUAUUGAAAACAACAACAGGAGACAUUACGGACUAACCAGGGUUGAAACAGGACUGGAUACAAAGUUUGGAACUUUAGUGCAAAAAAAUGAAUGGAACUGAUGGAGUUGAUGGUGGGUUGAGAAUUAAAAAAGCAUGCAUGGCUCCUCGUACGCC